UCGAGCGAACAGACGAGGAGCUUGCUCCUUUGACGUUAGCGGCGGACGGGUGAGUAACACGUAGGUAACCUACCUAUAAGACUGGGAUAACUUCGGGAAACCGGAGCUAAUACCGGAUAAUAUUUCGAACCGCAUGGUUCGAUAGUGAAAGAUGGCUUUGCUAUCACUUAUAGAUGGACCUGCGCCGUAUUAGCUAGUUGGUAAGGUAACGGCUUACCAAGGCAACGAUACGUAGCCGACCUGAGAGGGUGAUCGGCCACACUGGAACUGAGACACGGUCCAGACUCCUACGGGAGGCAGCAGUAGGGAAUCUUCCGCAAUGGGCGAAAGCCUGACGGAGCAACGCCGCGUGAGUGAUGAAGGUCUUCGGAUCGUAAAACUCUGUUAUUAGGGAAGAACAAACGUGUAAGUAACUGUGCACGUCUUGACGGUACCUAAUCAGAAAGCCACGGCUAACUACGUGCCAGCAGCCGCGGUAAUACGUAGGUGGCAAGCGUUAUCCGGAAUUAUUGGGGCGUAAAGCGCGCGUAGGCGGUUUUUUAAGUCUGAUGUGAAAGCCCACGGCUCAACCGUGGAGGGUCAUUGGAAACUGGAAAACUUGAGUGCAGAAGAGGAAAGUGGAAUUCCAUGUGUAGCGGUGAAAUGCGCAGAGAUAUGGAGGAACACCAGUGGCGAAGGCGACUUUCUGGUCUGUAACUGACGCUGAUGUGCGAAAGCGUGGGGAUCAAAC
rnacentral:rRNA from 1 species